rnacentral:rRNA from 1 species
CAGUCGCCGCGGUAAUACGAAGGGUGCAAGCGUUAGUCGGAAUUACUGGGCGUAAAGCGUGCGUAGGCGGUGAGUUAAGUCUGCUGUGAAAUCCCCGGGCUCAACCUGGGAAUGGCAGUGGAUACUGGCUCGCUAGAGUGUGUCAGAGGAUGGUGGAAUUCCCGGCGUAGCGGUGAAAUGCGUAGAGAUCGGGAGGAACAUCAGUGGCGAAGGCGGCCAUCUGGGACAACACUGACGCUGAGGCACGAAAGCGUGGGGAGCAAACAGGAUUAGAUACCCCGGUAGUCCCUGUCUCUUAUAC